rnacentral:rRNA from 1 species
CUACGUGCCAGCAGCCGCGGUAAUACGUAGGUCCCGAGCGUUGUCCGGAUUUAUUGGGCGUAAAGCGAGCGCAGGCGGUUAGAUAAGUCUGAAGUUAAAGGCUGUGGCUUAACCAUAGUACGCUUUGGAAACUGUUUAACUUGAGUGCAAGAGGGGAGAGUGGAAUUCCAUGUGUAGCGGUGAAAUGCGUAGAUAUAUGGAGGAACACCGGUGGCGAAAGCGGCUCCCUGGCUUGUAACUGACGUUGAGGCUCGAAAGCGUGGGGAGCAAACAGGAUUAGAUACCCUGGUAGUCCACGCCGUAAACGAUGAGUGCUAGGUGUUAGACCCUUUCCGGGGUUUAGUGCCGUAGCUAACGCAUUAAGCACUCCGCCUGGGGAGUACGACCGCAAGGUUGAAACUCAAAGGAAUUGACGGGGGCCCGCACAAGCGGUGGAGCAUGUGGUUUAAUUCGACGCAACGCGAAGAACCUUACCAGGUCUUGACAU